GGUGAUACUGAGUCGGUAUCGACGAGGGAGGCCGACAUUCUAUUAGUACCAACUCUCAAUAGUGAGCUAGUUAUUGCAUUGUCAGCUCCGACAAUGCUUCCUUCUGCUAAAGUGCCGUCGGUCGAAGUUAAGACAGCAAGAGGUGAAAAUGCCAUGCUAGAACCAUCAGCGGCACCAUCUGCGAUGGUUCGGACUGAAUCUGCAGUCGAACCAGAACUAU
rnacentral:lncRNA from 1 species